rnacentral:rRNA from 1 species
AUUGAACGCUGGCGGCAGGCCUAACACAUGCAAGUCGAACGAGUGGCGGACGGGUGAGUAAUGUCUGGGAAACUGCCUGAUGGAGGGGGAUUACUACUGGAAACGGUAGCUAAUACCGCAUACCAUCAGAUGUGCCCAGAUGGGAUUAGCUUGUUGGUGGGGUAACGGCUCACCAAGGCGACGAUCCCUAGCUGGUCUGAGAGGAUGACCAGCCACGCUGGAACUGAGACACGUUCCAGACUCAGACGGGAGGCAGCAGUGGGUAAUAUUGCACAAUGGGCGCAAGCCUGAUACAGCCAUGCCGCGUGUAUGAAGAGGGCCUUGAGGUUGUAAAGUGCUUUCAGCGGGGAGGCGUUACCCGCAGAGUAAGCACCGGCUAACACCGUGCCAGCAGCCGCGGUAAUAC